AUAUCAGUCAUGCAUAGCAUAUCAAUAAGCGGAGGAAAAGAAACUAACAAGGAUUCCCUUAGUAACGGCGAGUGAAGCGGGAAGAGCUCAAAUUUGAAAUCUUCAAGGUUUUACCUUGACGAAUUGUAGUUUAAAGAAGUGUUUUCUGUUGAAGUUUUGGUAAAAGUUCUUUGGAAUAGGACAUCAUAGAGGGUGAGAAUCCCGUAUUUGACCAUUACUUUCAGCUUUGUGAUACACUUUCAAAGAGUCGGAUUGUUUGGGAAUGCAGUCCAAAAUGGGUGGUAAAUUUCAUCUAAAGCUAAAUAUUAGGCGAGAGACCGAUAGCGAACAAGUACCGUGAGGGAAAGAUGAAAAGAACUUUGAAAAGAGAGUUAAACAGUACGUGAAAUUGUCAAAAGGGAAGCGUUUGACACCAGUGUUGUUUUCUCGAAAAUCAAUUAAAAAGAGUUGGAUUUUGUGUUGUAUUGACUUUAUCAGCUUUCUUCACUCUUUUCCAGCUUUUUUUAAUGCACUUUUCGUUUAACAAGUCAACAUCAGUUUCUUUUGUUGUAAAAAGGUCAUUGGAAGGUGGCUUUCUCUUCGGAGAAAGUGUUUAUAGCCUUUGACUCAUGCAAUCGGAGAGACUGAGGUCUGCAGCGUAGAUCCUUCGGGGUUAGAUACAUUUGUGCUAAGUUAUAGCUUUUCAUAGACAACUUGUUGACUAUGUUUAGUCUUGUAGCUUACUCGCUUAUGCUAUUUUACCUACGCUUAGGAUGUUGAACUCUAUCACACACA
rnacentral:rRNA from 1 species